rnacentral:tRNA from 1 species
AAUGAAGUGCCUGAUAAAAGGAUUAUCUUGAUAGGAUAAAUUAUACAUAAAAUUAUGUCUUCAUUA